UUUUUUUCUUCACAGGUAAAAUUUCUAGGUAGCGUCACAGUGCAAGCAUUCCCUCCGGGUGUAAUACCCAAGACGGGCAUUUGCAAACCUGAAGAAAUAAAGGCUGGGACGUGCACGCCUUGUAAUGUAAAGUCUGGCUGUAAUUAAGGAGUCUGGAAGUUGGCAUCUAUCAUCUGAAAAUGUUACAGUUUUGCACGAUGUUCGUCACAGGACACAUUUUAAGGUUCAUCAAUUACAACUCAGCCGGCAAAUCUACCUUGACUUCUUUGAAAUGGUGAAAAUACGAGGACCAUGGGCGGAACCAGUUGUAAUUUUUUGUUAAAAUAAGAUAAAUUUGAACAACAUUUA